CUACGGGGCGCUGCAGUGAGGAAUAUUGCACAAUGGGGGGAACCCUGAUGCAGCAACGCCGCGUGGAGGAUGACGCAUUUCGGUGUGUAAACUCCUUUUAUAUGUCAAGAAAAUGACGGUAGCAUAUGAAUAAGCACCGGCUAACUCCGUGCCAGCAGCCGCGGUAAUACGGAGGGGGCAAGCGUUACUCGGAAUCACUGGGCGUAAAGGACGCGUAGGCGGGUUGGAAAGUCAGGUGUGAAAUCCUACAGCUUAACUGUAGAACUGCACUUGAAACUUCUAAUCUAGAGUAUGGGAGGGGGAGAUGGAAUUAGUGGUGUAGGGGUAAAAUCCGUAGAUAUCACUAGGAAUACCUAAAGCGAAGGCGAUCUCCUGGAACAUUACUGACGCUAAGGCGUAAAAGCGUGGGGAGCAAACAGGAUUAGAUACCCGAGUAGUC
rnacentral:rRNA from 1 species